UACGUAGGGGGCGAGCGUUGUCCGGAUUUAUUGGGCGUAAAGAGCGUGUAGGCGGCCAGGUAGGUCUGCUGUGAAAACUCGAGGCUCAACCUCGAGACGUCGGCGGAAACCAUCUGGCUAGAGUCCGGAAGAGGAGAGUGGAAUUCCUGGUGUAGCGGUGUAAUGCGCAGAUAUCAGGAAGAACACCCGUGGCGAAGGCGGCUCUCUGGGACGGUACUGACGCUGAGACGCGAAAGCGUGGGAGCGAACAGG
rnacentral:rRNA from 1 species